UGCGAAUGAUGAUUUAUCAUGACGGUCUUCCAAGUCUCAGACUUUGACGAAACUGCCUUAUGGCAUCACUGAUGCAGCAAA